rfam:Erinaceus europaeus unplaced genomic scaffold scaffold01037, whole genome shotgun sequence
GUAUGCUAGGGCAAUUUAGCUGUGACAUCUGUCACCCCAUUGAUGACCAGGGUUGAUUCAGCUGAUCUGGCUGGCUAGGCAGGUGUCCCCUUCUUCCCUCACCACUCCUUGUGCGUCCAUCCCUCCCAAAGCUGUGAGCUCAAAGAAGACAGUCUUCCCCGAAUAGAGACUGACCGGUCUUUGCUCGAGGGUGUAUGAGUAGCUGUGCUCCCAUGCUAUAACCUCCAAACAAGCUCUCAAGGUCCAUUUGUUGGAGAAUGUAGGGUAACCAAGCUUCCAAAAUUCCUGACACAUCCAAAUGAGGCGCUGCAUGCGGCAGUCUGCCUUUAAAA